rnacentral:lncRNA from 10 species
GUGGGGUCGGGGGAGGGGGGAGGGAUAGCAUUGGGAGAUAUACCUAAUGCUAGAUGACGAGUUAGUGGGUGCAGCGCACCAGCAUGGCACAUGUAUACAUAUGUAACUAACCUGCACAAAGUGCACAUGUACCCUAAAACUUAAAGUAUAAUAAUAAAAAAAAAAAAGAACUGCAACUAAAAAAGGAUGUCCACUCUUACCAGUCCUAUUUAACAUAGUCCUAGCCAGGGCAAUCAGGCAAGGAAAAGAAAUAAAAGGCAUCCACAUUGGAAAAGAGGCAGUCAAAUUGUCCUUCUUUGCAGAUGACAUGAUCCUAUGUCUAGAAAAAUCUAAAGAAUCUACCAAAAACUCUUAGAUUUGAUAAACAAGUUCCGUAAAAUUGCAGGAUACAAUAUUAACACACAAAAAUCAGUAACAUUUUCAUAUGCCAAUAAUAAACUCACUGAAAAACAAAUCAAGAAACAAUCUCAUUUACAAUAGCUAUAAAAAAUACAAAAUACCUAGUAAUCAAUUUAACCAAGAAGGGGAAAUGCCUUUGCAGGGAAAACUACAAAGCACUGAUGAAAGAAACUGAAGGGAACACAAACAUGUGGAAAGACAUCCCAUGCUCAUGUAUUGUAAGAAUUAGUAUGGUUAAAAUGACCAUACUACUCAAAGUAAUAUACAGAUUCAGUGAAACCCUGUCAAAAUACCAAGGACAUUUCUCACAGAAAUAGAAAAAAAAAAAACUAAAAUUUUUAUAGAACCAAAAUAGAGCCCAAAAAGCCAAAGCAAUCCUGAGCAAAAAGAAGGAGGCUGGAGGCAUCACACUACCUGAUUUCAAAAUAUAUUACAAGGCUAUAGUAACCAAAACAGCAUGGUACUGGUAUAAAAACAGACACAUAAACCAAAGGAACAGAAUAGAGAAUCCAGAAAUAAGUCCACAUAUUUGUAGCCAACUGAUUUUCAAUAAAGGCACCAAGAACAUAACAUUUUCUUGUAUGUUUCAUUUAUAUUUAUACAAGUAUAAACAUAUUGUUGAAUAUUAUGUAGGUAAACACCAGAAGAAGAACUUAACACAGAAAUGGUUUUAAAAUGAUUAGGAAAUGAGACCAGGCAGGGAGAGAAAGUGAUCUUUUCAUUUCCUUCUCAUCUAUACUGUUUGAAAUGUUAUUUCCAUGUGCAUGAAUUAUUUUAUUAUAAUUAUUUUAUACAUCACUAAGAAAAAAAGGAAACAUCAGAUAAUUCUCAUUAACAGACAUGUUUGGGAAUACCUGCCCUAGAGGACAGCUGAAGGCUUCCCAAGAGAAGCCAAAGGCAAAAAUGGGAAACAGAUAAGGCAGUUCUGGGGUUUUCAAUCUAGACAAGUUUGAGGGUCAGGGAAGAAGGUCAAGUGUCUGGGAAGAGCCUCCACCAGAGUUUGCCGGUUUCUAAUCUUCAUUACAUUGAAAGCCUUUAUCCCUCUUGAGGUGGGUAUAUGUCUGUGGUCUGUGAUCUGUGUUGGGAGGGCAAUUCAUCCCUGGGUGUAGACACUGCUUUGCAUAUCAUUAUGUACAUCACAUGCUUGCCUCACUAAGUGGCACGCUGAGAUAUUUAUGAUGAAGAGGGAUUAUCACAUAUAUAAAACUACACUAAUGUUUUAUAUGAAAAGAAAUUCCAUGUGCCUUGAGGACAGUCCCCACCACCAUCAAUAAGAUCUGCCCAGAGUUAUGGUCUCAAAACAUUGAUUUUAUAAUAGCAAUAAAGUUUACAAAUGGUAAAAAUAUGAGCUUGUUUACUCCUGGAAGAUUUUAUUAUUCAUGCAAACUCUUAGUCAAAGAUAGAGGCUGUUAUACACUUUGGGAAACCAUUUAUGAGCCAGAAAGACCCCAAGGAAAGGAAUUCAGUAGAAAUAAUUUUGUGAAAUCAAUUUGAAGAAUGCUUAAUCCUUAGAUUAAAAAGCCAGGCCACAUAUAUAUACACAUAUAUAUAUACACAACACAGAUCACAGACCACAGACAUAUAUAUAUACAUAUACACACACACACACACACACACACACACACACACACAUAUAUAUAUAUAUAUAUAUAUAUAUACACAUCACAAAGAGAGACAGAUUUGCAUUUUUUUCCAUACCCAGUGAAAAGGUGAAACCAUCCCAAUCUUAGUGAUCAGGCAGAAGUGGGAGGAGGGAGGGCUUAUUUUAAGACUUGGGCAAGCCCAAAAGGUUCUGUUGGUGCAAACAACACAGUUAACUGGGAUACCCCCAACUUAAACCCAAGUCUAACAAGCCAUCCCAGACCUGUCAAUCAUACUCUGUUGGAGGGUCCUUGAGUCCUAUUGCCCAAAGAGGGGCAAUUCAGUAGGUCCUGCCAGGCAGCAUGUUCAUUCCUGGGUUUUUAGGGUGUUUUAUGCAUCUCCUCCACUGGUCUGCACUAAAUACAAAGGCAACUCCUCUCUCCCACUUCACAACCAUCACCUGGUUCUUAGCUGGUUACCAGAGUCUCUCAGUCCAGCAGUGGUCACUUGCUGAGAAGAUGAAUGUACUUAGUAUGAGUGAGACAGAUCUUUUUUCCUUUCCCUUAAUAUAAUCUGCUUAGAACUUCCCUAAAAUACAUUGUCCAUCUUCUAAUUAUAGAUUUUCUUACGGCAUAACAUCAUGCAGGAAGUUCAAAACUAGCAAUGAGGCAGUCAGUUCUACCAGUAGAAGCCAUUGCAACAUUCUAUAGGCAGACACUAGAGGGUUUUCGUGGACUGAUAAACUGCAUUGUUCCUCUAAGACUCUAAUAGCAAUAGUGAGCUUUUUUGUCUGUUUCUUUCCCCAUUCCCAACCACAUACACUCCUCAAGUAUUCUUUUUUUGCUUUCUUCCCAUCUUCCUAUCAGGACUCCACAUUUCUAGCUAUGUGGUAUAGAUGUCCUUGUCCCUACCCUGGUGGGACCUGAUUGUCCUUAGUUGCGUCUCCUCUGAUUGGCUCAGAGGUGAGCAUGUGACACAAAUCGGUCCGAGCAGAAGGAAGCUCCGAUGUGGAGAAAUCGCUGGUGCUUUCUCCCAGGAGAUGAGAAUUAACAACUCCAGUUGUUGCUGACAACUAUUCUGCAAUAAGGAGAACCAGCCUUGAGAAGAAACUGCCACAGUGUGAGGUUCAGUAGAGAGAGGACACAGACUGAAAGACACUGGUGGCCUUGUUGAGCUCGAGUCUCAAUUCUGGAUCAAUUCUUGCAUACAACUUUUCUAAUUCUGGAUUUUUCUGUCAAUAAAUUCCCUUUAAUUGUUUAAGCCCAUUUGCGUUAGGUUUCUCUUCUAUAUGACCAAAUGCAUCCUAACUGAUUACAGUGACCAACAACACAAAACUAAUUGUCAGCCCAUAGAUGUCUAGCUACCUUACAUGCAAAUUCCUAGAUUUCUUUUCCAACAGUUAGCCUGGAAUAUUGUCGCCACCCCCUAAAAGGCCCUAAUCUUUAGGGUCCUUAAAACUCUUCCAGGAACCUGUCCACAAGAAUUUUAGGUUGAGAUUUGAGUUCUACAUGAAUCUGCAAUCUACAGGAUUCCUUGGUAUUCACUGAACAAUAUCCCAGGCAUCUAGAGGAAAGGGAUCACUCAGGAACACCCCCACUUCCCUACAAUCGUUGGACCUAAGGAUGAAUUCUGGCCAU